GCCUUACACAUGCAUGUCGAACGGCAGCACGGACUUCGGUCUGGUGGCGAGUGGCGAACGGGUGAGUAAUACAUCGGAACGUGUCCUGGAGUGGGGGAUAGCCCGGCGAAAGCCGGAUUAAUACCGCAUACGCUCUGAGGAGGAAAGGGGGGGAUCGAAAGACCUCUCGCUCAAGGGGCGGCCGAUGGCAGAUUAGCUAGUUGGUGGGGUAAAGGCCUACCAAGGCGACGAUCUGUAGCUGGUCUGAGAGGACGACCAGCCCCCCUGGGACUGA
rnacentral:rRNA from 1 species